rnacentral:tRNA from 1 species
GGCCUCGUAGCUCAGCUGGUAGAGUACACGCGAUACCAAGGCGUAGAUGGUAACCAUACGUGGGUUCGAACUUCGCCAUGGUCA